UCCUCCCUCUUUCUUCGUGCUUAACACAUGCAAGUCGAACGGAAAGGCCCUGCUUUUGUGGGGUGCUCGAGUGGCGAACGGGUGAGUAACACGUGAGUAACCUGCCCUUGACUUUGGGAUAACUUCAGGAAACUGGGGCUAAUACCGGAUAGGAGCUCCUGCUGCAUGGUGGGGGUUGGAAGGUUUCGGCGGUUGGGGAUGGACUCGCGGCUUAUCAGCUUGUUGGUGGGGUAGUGGCUUACCAAGGCUUUGACGGGUAGCCGGCCUGAGAGGGUGACCGGCCACAUUGGGACUGAGAUACGGCCCAGACUCCUACGGGAGGCAGCAGUGGGGAAUAUUGCACAAUGGGCGGAAGCCUGAUGCAGCAACGCCGCGUGCGGGAUGACGGCCUUCGGGUUGUAAACCGCUUUCGCCUGUGACGAAGCGUGAGUGACGGUAAUGGGUAAAGAAGCACCGGCUAACUACGUG
rnacentral:rRNA from 1 species